GUCGGCUCGCGAAGCGAGCUGAUCCUUGUUGUCAACGCUGAUUCAUUGCGGAUUCACCGAAGCACAAACUCGUAUGUGUGUUCCUUCACUGGCUGCAAAUAAAUCUUGAUAAAUAAGGCACUUGCAAUAGCCUUAUUUUUAUAAUUUGAAUAAGUUGAUGACAAUAUUGUGUUGGAAACUUUUAUCCUGCAUAUUUAUUACACAAUAACCUUGAAGUUCACCUAAAAGUGUGAAUAGAAUAUUGUAAAUAUUACAUGCGGAUGAAUAUUUGCGAAGGGGCACAUGAAGGGGGUUAUCUCAAAAUACGAAAUUGUAACAAAUUUAAAACUCCCGUAUAAAAGACAUGCGCUGCUUUGGAUUAUUAAAAGGUGUAUAUUAUAUCUUUUUUUCUCGUAAACAAAAAGAAAUUGAGUUUGCUUAUGUAACUAAUAUUGAAACACCCGCAGAAUAAUAUUACGAACAAGUUAACUUUCAUGAUUUUCACCUCACCCUUUUCGCGGGAAGCUGCAGCUGUUGAGUAAAUAGAAUCACGAGGAGAAGUUUUCAAGCUGAGCAGUGCAGUGGAGAUCGUCAGAACUGUGCAACAAAAGAAAUCGCAAGAACUGUAUCAGUUGGAGGAAGAGAUGUAAAAGUCAAAUCUAUAACCUUCAAGGAUGGGACGGGCAAGUGCAAAGUGUAACUUUGGAGAGAGUUUGCCGAGAAAGAAGUGGGUAAAGGCCAACACUUGAAAAUCACUGAUGUUGUUGUACAGACGUACAACAACGAGAAGUCUGUCUCAACAACUGGAAGGACAGAAGUUGAGACCAUGAAAGCUCCAAGUCAACUAAAGCUCACAGAAAACAUCAUGGCUGAUAACAUGGAGGAAAAUGGCCUCAGUCUUAUCAUUGACGACCGGGAAGCAUAUCCAGCGUACAGAAUUUGGUGAAAUUGGUGAGGGGUGUUGAUGAUCAGACUGAAAGAGAUUCUCAGAUCUGUGCGAAAGGUCUUUAUGUACCGGUAAAUUGUCGGAAGAAGAAGAGAUCUUUAAAACCUUCUCUUCAAUUAUAUUGAUUUCUCCUC